GUUUAUCAAAAACAUGGCUCUUUGUAAACAAAAAAUAAAGAGUCGGGCCUGCCCAGUGAAUUUUCAACGGCCGCGGUACUCUGACCGUGCAAAGGUAGCAUAAUCAUUUGCCUUAUAAUUGAAGGCUAGUAUGAAUGGUUUGACGAGAGCAAUACUGUCUCCUUAUUAUUUUCAAGAACUUAACUUUUAGGUGAAGAGGCCUAAAUUUUAUUGAAGGACAAGAAGACCCUGUCGAGCUUAAAAGAUUAUAUAGGAGUCUAUAUAUCUUUAGAUAAAUUUCUAUUGAGCUUUUUAGUUGGGGCGACUGAGGAACAAAAAAAGCUUCUUUUUAAAAAAUAAACAAUCAUGUUUAGAUCCGGUAGUAGCGAUUAAGGAAAUUAGUUACCGCAGGGAUAACAGCAUAAUCUCUCUUGAGAGACCUAAUCGAAAGAGGGGGUUGUGACCUCGAUGUUGGACUAGAAUAUCCUAAAGACGCAGA
rnacentral:rRNA from 1 species